ACGAACGCUGGCGGCGUGCCUAAUACAUGCAAGUUGAGCACUGAAGGUUGGUACUUGUACCAACUGGAUGAGCAGCGAACGGGUGAGUAACGCGUGGGGAAUCUGCCUUUGAGCGGGGGACAACAUUUGGAAACGAAUGCUAAUACCGCAUAAAAACUUUAAACACAAGUUUUAAGUUUGAAAGAUGCAAUUGCAUCACUCAAAGAUGAUCCCGCGUUGUAUUAGCUAGUUGGUGAGGUAAAGGCUCACCAAGGCGAUGAUACAUAGCCGACCUGAGAGGGUGAUCGGCCACAUUGGGACUGAGACACGGCCCAAACUCCUACGGGAGGCAGCAGUAGGGAAUCUUCGGCAAUGGACGAAAGUCUGACCGAGCAACGCCGCGUGAGUGAAGAAGGUUUUCGGAUCGUAAAACUCUGUUGGUAGAGAAGAACGUUGGUGAGAGUGGAAAGCUCAUCAAGUGACGGUAACUACCCAGAAAGGGACGGCUAACUACGUG
rnacentral:rRNA from 1 species